GAUGAACGCUGGCGGCGUGCCUAAUACAUGCAAGUCGAGCGAACAGAUGAGGAGCUUGCUCCUCUGACGUUAGCGGCGGACGGGUGAGUAACACGUGGAUAACCUACCUAUAAGACUGGGAUAACUUCGGGAAACCGGCGCUAAUACCGUAUAAUAUAUUGAACCGCAUGGUUCAAUAGUGAAAGACGGUUUUGCUGUCACUUAUAGAUGGAUCCGCGCCGCAUUAGCUAGUUGGUAAGGUAACGGCUUACCAAGGCGACGAUGCGUAGCCGACCUGAGAGGGUGAUCGGCCACACUGGAACUGAGACACGGUCCAGACUCCUAAGGGAGGCAGCAGUAGGGAAUCUGCCGCAAUGGGCGAAAGCAUGACGGAGCAACGACGCGUGAGUGAUGAAGGUCUUCGGAUCGUAAAACUCUGUUAUUAGGGAAGAACAAAUGUGUAAGUAACUAUGCACGUCUUGACGGUACCUAAUCAGAAAGCCACGGCUAACUACGUG
rnacentral:rRNA from 1 species